rnacentral:rRNA from 1 species
AAUGGCCUACCAAGGCGACGACGGGUAGCCGGCCUGAGAGGGCGACCGGCCACACUGGGACUGAGACACGGCCCAGACUCCUGCGGGAGGCAGCAGUGGGGAAUAUCGCACAAUGGGCGAAAGCCUGAUGCAGCGACGCCGCGUGAGGGAUGACGGCCUUCGGGUUGUAAACCUCUUUCAGCAGGGACGAAGCGUAAGUGACGGUACCUGCAGAAGAAGCGCCGGCCGACUACGUGCCCGCAGCCGCGGUAAGACGUAGGGCGCGAGCGUUGUCCGGAUUUAUUGGGCGUAAAGAGCUCGUAGGCGGCUUGUCGCGUCGACUGUGAAAACCCGCAGCUCAACUGCGGGCCUGCAGUCGAUACGGGCAGGCUAGAGUUCGGUAGGGGAGACUGGAAUUCCUGGUGUAGCGGUGGAAUGCGCAGAUAUCAGGAGGAACACCGGUGGCGAAGGCGGGUCUCUGGGCCGAUACUGACGCUGAGGAGCGGAAGCGUGGGGAGCGAACAGGAUUAGAUACCCUGGUAGUCCACGCUGUAAACGUUGGGCGCUAGGUGUGGGGGACCUCUCCGGUUCUCUGUGCCGCAGCUAACGCAUUAAGCGCCCCGCCUGGGGAGUACGG